rnacentral:misc_RNA from 1 species
UUGUGGAGGAGGACGCCGAAGGUGGGGCUAAUGACUGGGGUGAAGUCGUAACAAGGUAGCCGUACCGGAAGGUGCGGCUGGAUCACCUCCUAACAGGGAGACAACAAAAUGUUAAAUAUUAAUUUUGUCACCUUAGGUCGAUCGGUAUCUCACAUUCUUGAUUAUUUAAGGAUUUUAUUUCCUAAGUUUUUUCUAGGUCACACCCAUUACUUUUCCUGGGCCAUUAGCUCAGGUGGUUAGAGCGCACCCCUGAUAAGGGUGAGGUCCCUGGUUCAAGUCCAGGAUGGCCCAUAUCUCUAUGUUGGGGGUAUAGCUCAGUUGGUAGAGCGCCUGCUUUGCAAGCAGGAUGUCAGCGGUUCGAGUCCGCUUACCUCCACUGAUCACCACCUCUUCAUAAUUUAUAGAAGGGAAUUGUUUUGAGUUAUGAUCAAAUUCUGAACGAAUCUAGCUUCCUAAUUGAAUCUAUUAAGAUGCUGGACUCAUUGAAUUAAUUUCAUUGUUUUCAGAGAACCUUGACAACUGCAUAGAUUAUUUUAAAGACAAUAAGCAUCUUUAAUGAUGCAGAUUUAUUAUUUGUGCGAAUGCAUUAAAUAACAAUUCUAUUAAGCUGAUGCUUCAAUUUUGAAGUUAUUGGUCAAGCUACAA